rnacentral:ncRNA from 2 species
UACCUAUCCAGAGCGGUGGAGGGACAGGCCCGAUGAAACCCGGCAACCAGCGUAAGUAUGGUGCCACUACCAGCAAAUUUUUUGCAAUGAUGGGAU